rnacentral:rRNA from 1 species
CCCGUCAAUUCAUUUGAGUUUCCUACGGGAGGCAGCAGUGGGGAAGUUUGGACAAUGGGGGAAACCCUGAUCCAGCCAUCCCGCGUGUAUGAUGAAGGCCUUCGGGUUGUAAAGUACUUUUGGCAGAGAAGAAAAGGUAUCUCCUAAUACGAGAUACUGCUGACGGUAUCUGCAGAAUAAGCACCGGCUAACUACGUUCCAGCAGCCGCGGUAAUACGUAGGGUGCAAGCGUUAAUCGGAAUUACUGGGAGUAUAGCGUGUGUAGGCGGUUCGGAAAGAAAGAUGUGAAAUCCCAGGGCUCAUCCUUGGACCUGCAUUUUUAACUGCCGAGCUAGAGUAUGUCAGAGGGGGGUAGAAUUCCACGUGUAGCAGUGAAAUGCGUAGCUAUAAGGAGGAAUGCCGAUGGCGAAGGCAGGCCCCUGGGAUAAUACUGACGCUCAGACGCGAAAGCGUGGGGGGCAAACAAGAUUAGAUUCCUGGUAGCCGCGCCCUAAACAAUGUCAACUAGCUGUUGAUACGUUAUCCUUAAUAACGCAGCUAGCGCGUGAAGUUGACAGUCUGAAAGAUUGGCAC